rnacentral:rRNA from 1 species
UACGUAGGGUGCGAGCGUUGUCCGGAUUUAUUGGGCGUAAAGGGCUCGUAGGCGGCGUGUCGUGUCGGGAGUGAAAGCCCGUUGCUUAACGGCGGGUUGGCUUUCGGUACGGGCAUGCUGGAGUGCGGCAGGGGAGACUGGAAUUCCUGGUGUAGCGGUGGAAUGCGCAGAUAUCAGGAGGAACACCGGUGGCGAAGGCGGGUCUCUGGGCCGUAACUGACGCUGGAGGAGCGAAAGCCAUGGGGAGCGAACAGG